CCAAUUGGGAGCCCCCGGAGGACCAAGGGAUGUUGCUGAGGUCACACCUGAUUCCGGAAUCUUGACACCCCUUCAAGAUUCCGAGCCGUUUAACGAAGGGCCGCCUGACAGGUACUGCCUUGUGUUCCUGACCUUAGUUGUGCACGGAGUCUGAACACUGAUGCCUCGGAAUAUGUCAUCACUGCCAAGAACUUGCCAUUGGGAUCUUCCAGAACACAGUGUAUGGGACGGCUGCCCAUCUCCCAUUUAGCUACACGGUGGCGGUGGUGCUGGACU